rnacentral:rRNA from 1 species
GGGCCCGCACAAGCGGUGGAGCAUGUGGUUUAAUUCGAUGAUACGCGAGGAACCUUACCAGGGCUUAAAUGUAGUGGGACAGGUCUAGAGAUAGACCCUUCUUCGGACUCAUUACAAGGUGCUGCAUGGUUGUCGUCAGCUCGUGCCGUGAGGUGUCAGGUUAAGUCCUAUAACGAGCGCAACCCCUAUCGUUAGUUGCCAGCGAGUAAUGUCGGGAACUCUAACGAAACUGCCAGUGCAAACUGUGAGGAAGGUGGGGAUGACGUCAAAUCAUCACGGCCCUUACGUCCUGGGCUACACACGUGCUACAAUGGUAGGUACAGAGAGCAGCCAAUGCGCGAGCAUGAGCAAAUCUCAUAAACCGUGGCUCAGUUCAGAUCGUAGGCUGCAACUCGCCUACGUGAAGGAGGAAUCGCUAGUAAUCGCAGGU